UUGAAACAGAAACACUUUUGUGUUUUGUAAAUGGACGGUAGUUAAUUUUAGCAUUUCAAUCGGAUGUCUUAGGUGAUCGGUCGGAAAUUCCAUACGGUUUAUUUAGUUCACUGUGAAAUAUUGGGCAGAAAAAAAAUUCAUAUUCGAUGGGAUUAUCUUGAAAAGUUCAGAGAUUUUGUUAUUGUUCAAAACGGAACUGUUUCGAUUUUUGUUGCUUUCAAAUCGUGCAUUGAAAAAUUCUUUCUUUUUUAACAAUUAUCUUAUCCAAAAUACGCAUAUUUCGCAACAUACGUUCAAAAUAUAGAUCGCGCAAUAAACAUGUACAAGUUGGAAAAUUCAAAACCAAAAUUUUGUAUAGGUUACACAUUGACCGCAAAAGCAAUGAACUACCUGACGAUAUUAUUUAGUAUUGUGUUCAUUGCAUUUACGGUUUAUGUUCAGUUCAGUAGAUACAUAUUUAUGCACAACUUUGCAACCGAAAGUCAAUUUGAAAUGUACGCAUUUCAAGCGGUGUGCGUUUGUUAUGCGAUUGUUAUACUCGCGGCCUAUAUCUUUUCGUCCUACGGCAUCGCUAGAUAGAAAAAAUUGGUAUACAUGCGAGUGGCACUCAUUUGUUGGGGAAUAUUACUAAAUCUGUGGACUGCUUUCCAAUUCAAUUACACGCUUCUAUUGUUGACAUAUUUUAAAAAAGGAUUUCAACUGGUCGAUUACUUGGGCGUUGUUAUGACAGUAUUUCUGGUGACUUUUUAUUUCUUCAUUCUGAUAAGUUACAAAGCGAUAAGAGAAGCCAUUGAGAUCGAUACAUCUGGAAAUCCGCUGCUAUACGCAUCAUAUACAGUCAACUAUAGUUUCAAUCAGAACGUUACUAGCAUCAUGACUGGUUUUUUGAUGUUUGCUAUUGUGCUUGGGCAGAGCAUCUUCUAUGUUGUACACUUUCAUUCGAAAUUUUUUCCCGAAUUUAUAACUGUUGGUUAUGUUUUAUUCGUUUUCAACAUAUGGACGAUAGUUUGCUGGUUCCGUGGAAUUGUCCAUAAACAAAUUUAUUUGUGGCCACUAAUUUUGUGGGCAAUAUUCUUGUGUGUAUGGUUUUGGGCCAUUUCUGUGCUCACCUACUCCAAAUCGUGGAACAGGGGCAACAUCAAGGCUUUGAUUAUGUUUUACGUUCUAACAGUGCCUAUUCUGGCUAUAUAUUUCAUGGCUUUCAUGAGUUACACAUUAGCGAAACGAGCGGCUCAACAUCUCAACCAAAGACAUCAACUGCCAGAAACAUUCUACCCCAAGCGUGAGCCCAAUAAUUCCAACAAAAAUCACAGUGUGAAACGAAACCAAACAAAACCCCAGAAAUCUCCCAUUUAACUCAACUCGAUUACGACUAUAAAAUUAUGUCGAUUUUAUGUAAUACGCGUCAUUAUUUAAAAAAAAAAAAAAAAAGAAUCCAACGAUGGGAACAAAAUUGGACGACUUUUGAUAGAUUUAAGGAAUAAAAGUGAGAAUUUUACAAAUAUCUAACAAUAAAAUAUGGAUUCUUCCUAAGGGAGAGACACUCUCUCUCUCUCUCUCUCUCAAAGUUUCAUGUUGAUCGCAUUUGCAGAAGUUUGGUUCUUGGCCUUCCGAGAAAAUGUCGACAAAAUUGAGGAAAAAAAAUCAAAUUUCUGCAAAUGCGAUCAACAUGAAACUUACAGAAUCUUAUUUUUUCUCCAAAAAAUGAAACCUCAGAAAGUUUGAAGCCAAUCAGAAUUGAUUAACGGGUACCUCCCAUACAACCAAUUCCUAUACUUUUCCUUAACACGUUGUGUACGGAAAAGUAAAAAAUAAAGUUCUUUAAUUGGUAUCAAAUUUCACAUAUGAAUUCAUAAACACAUCGAGAAAAACAACUUUUUUUCACAUAAAAAGCUAAAGCAAGAUUAUUUUUUCGUUUAUUGUUGUUCGGUCCUGGAUCUCUUGUGAUUCAUUGAUGAUUUGCAACGCAUCUAUUUUUUUUGUCGAAAUUCCAACUGAAUAUGAUGUUUUAUUGAUUAAUUUAUGCCCGUUGUAAGUGGUUCGGAUUGAAUUAAAUCCAAAAAUUUAAUUUUCAACUUUGCAAGAACGGCCAAAAAAUGAAAGCUAAUAAGUCAAAGCAUAAAAUUUGGUCGAGAACAAGAAAAAUUGAUCUUAUGAGUACACUCCAUAUGCGUUAUGGGGCUUUGAAAUCGUGAUUUUCCCGAAUUUUGUUAAAUCCUAAAGAUUUAACUUUCAAAUGCGGGAUUUAAGAAUUUUUCACGCAAAACCAUGUUGCAAAUAAGUCAAAAAUUGUUGAAAAUGACCGAAAAAUUCUAAAUCAGCAUAAAACCCAACCACUUUGUAAGUUUUUUGAGUCCAAAUAUGCAAAAAUAUCAUUUUUCGUAUAUUCUCAACAUUUAAUUUUCAAUUGCGUGAUUUAAGAAUUUUUCACGUUAAACAGUGGGUCAAAUAAGGCAAAAGUUGUGGGAAAUGGUCCGAAAAAUCUAAAUCAGGAAUAAAAAGUAAGCACUUUUGACCAUUUUUGGGUUCAAAUAGGCAAGAAUAGCAGUUUACGGAAACCCUCAGUAUUUCACUUUCACAUUAUGGUGAAUUGUUUUGCGAAAUCUCGUUUUUCGACAGUCUGCCCAUCCAAAACUUCUAGCCAGCUUCAAAUCAAGCACCGAAAGGGUAACUCUCAUACAAAUUUGGCCUGUUUUGCCAAUUUUAUGAAGAAAAUAAGAAAAUUUGUAUGGAAGGUACCCGUAAAUCGCUUCGAGUUUUUUUGAUAAAAAAAUAAGAUUAAGAAAGUUUCAUUUGAAUUUAAAAAAAAUACUUAUUACGGUCAUUCUUCGAGAGUUUCGUGCAUUUAUGUGACACUUGAAUUUGAAACCUUUGUGCAAUGGGAUUUUUAAUUAUAAAUUGAGAAAAGAAAUGUUCGAAAAUCAGCUUUGAAAGUAAUAUGUAAUUUGUUAUAGGCGACAAACAAUUGGAUCCAGGAUUGAGUGCAACUGGUUGUUUCUUAUUUCAUUUAGACAAUAAUGUUUGUGCUAUCGUUUAUGUUGUUUAUCAUUAAAGUACGCACAAUUUCC